GCCCCGCUAGCUCAAUUGGCAGAGCAUCUGACUCUUAAUCAGAGGGUUUUUGGUUCGAGUCCAAAGCGGGGCA
rnacentral:tRNA from 1 species